GGCGCCGCCGCUCCCGCCCCCUGCCCGGCCCGCGGUUCCGCGCCGCCCCCGGGUGCCUCUCGGGUGGGUUGGGGUGCUUGGCUCCCGCAGCGCUGUUCCCCUGGGGAGAGACACCCCCCCGAGGUGUGGGAAGACGGACCAGCAGAUCCUGAGCGAGCUCGGCUCCGGAGCUGGAAGGAGCUCUCUGCUCCCGGAGGUCAGACACAGUGUCCUUCUGGGGACAGGUGCCAAGCCACCCAAGCCCUGAAGCAAUCUGGGUCUCCUGCUUGUCCUGCAGGGUGGCAUUUUUCUGUGCAAUGGACAGAAUGCUCAGGGGUCUCUGCAGAGCUGCGUACCUUCUAUCAAUUUAGACAUUCAGCUCCCUGCCCUGCUUCCUUCUUCCUGGUGGACUGAUGAGACACCCAAGCAGUUGGAAAAUAAGGAAGAUAUCUCCAUAUUUUGUUACAGAUACUUCACUGCCGUAAAUAAACAACUACUUUCCUGUUCUCUUGGUUCCUUCCAGAGGUGGACAAUGUAAAAUACUCCAUGAUCUGACUUAAGGUCUAGUAAACGGUCUGAUUAUUGCUAGCUUAAUCAAGUGAGACAGCUGAUUGCCACUGCUCCUCCAGGUGUGCAACAGUGACAUGCCAGAGACUCUUUCUGCUGUUUGUAUUCUUCUCAUUGUAGAGUACAGUUUCCUUCCUUCUUCUCAUUUUCUAAUCAAACCUAUUCUUCCUUCAGUUCCUUUUCCUCUCCAAGAAUAAAAAUAGUAACAGUGACGAUGAGGAUAAUGAUGGUGUAACAUCUUAUUUGUAUUUUAUAGCACUGACUCUCCUGUAAUGCAGUUAAGUCUAUAGGAGAUGCAGAACUCUUUUUCAGGAAAGAAGUGAUAGGAUUGCCCAUCACUCGCUUAAGGGAUGUCCAAGUACAACUGUGACAUCCCGUAGAGCAGACAGCAGCUGGGCAUAGGAGGUGGGGUACAUGGUCAGCCUGUGUUCUCACAGUGGGAGCUGAGGCUUUGCAAGGUUCUGCCAUGAGUGAUUUGGGAGUACUUGCUGUGCUGUAUGGAUUUGCCAGGAUGGCAAAAAGGUGGCUGUAGGCUUGGGCUUACA